GACGAACGCUGGCGGCGUGCUUAACACAUGCAAGUCGAACGGAAAGGCCCUGCUUUUGUGGGGUGCUCGAGUGGCGAACGGGUGAGUAACACGUGAGUAACCUGCCCUUGACUUUGGGAUAACUUCAGGAAACUGGGGCGAAUACCGGAUAGGAGCUCCUGCUGCAUGGGGGGGGUUGGAAAGUUUCGGCGGUUGGGGAUGGACUCGCGGCUUAUCAGCUUGUUGGUGGGGUAGUGGCUUACCAAGGCUUUGACGGGUAGCCGGCCUGAGAGGGUGACCGGCCACAUUGGGCCUGCGAUACGGCCCAGACUCCUACGGGAGGCAGCAGUGGGGAAUAUUGCACAAUGGGCGGAAGCCUGAUGCAGCAACGCCGCGUGCGGGAUGACGGCCUUCGGGUUGUAAACCGCUUUCGCCUGUGACGAAGCGUGAGUGACGGUACUGGGUAAAGAAGCACCGGCUAACUACGUG
rnacentral:rRNA from 1 species